UCCUCCAUACAUAUUCAAGAGUUGAACAUGAUUAAAAUCAGAUUUGAUCUGAUUUAUUUUAGUCUAUGAGAUGGAUGGCUAUCUUCUAUACAUAUUCAAGAGUUGAACAUGAUUAAAAUCAGAUUUGAUCUGAUUUUUGCCUUUUCCUAUUAGUCCAUAAGAUGGAUAAAUUUUUUUUUAUCUUUUUCUAGAUCUAGUCCAAAGGUUGGACAAGAAAGAAAGAAGGAAGAGAUUAGAUCUCUUGUCUUCUUCAAUAGAUCUUGAUUUUUUUUUUGAGAAGAAAAAAAUGAAAAAAAAAUAGAUUUGAUCUGAUUUUAUGAUCCUCUUAUAGAUCUGAUUGAUUCUCUUGAGAAAAGAGUCCAAAGAUCCAAUCGAUUUGACAAUCCAAGAAGCAAUCUCUGUAAGGGAGCUAGCAUCCCAGUGAGAUCGAGUCCUUUUGAUCUAAUCAGUCUCGGUAGAUAUCCA
rnacentral:lncRNA from 1 species